rfam:Angiostrongylus cantonensis strain Taiwan genome assembly, scaffold: ACAC_scaffold0004663
GGCUGGAUGGUCUAGGGGUGUGAUUCUCACUUAGGGAGCGAGAGGUCCAGGGUUCGAAUCCCGGUUCGGCCC